GAUGAACGCUAGCGGCAGGCCUAACACAUGCAAGUCGAGGGAGAAGCCCUUUCGGGGGCAGAAACCGGCGCACGGGUGCGUAACGCGUAUGCAACCUACCUUUCACAGGGGGAUAGCCCGAAGAAAUUUGGAUUAAUACCCCAUAAUAUUAUUGGAUGGCAUCAUUUGAUAAUUAAAACUGCGGUGGUGAAAGAUGGGCAUGCGUCCUAUUAGCUAGUUGGAGUGGUAACGGCACCCCAAGGCUACGAUAGGUAGGGGUCCUGAGAGGGAGAUCCCCCACACUGGUACUGAGGCAGGGACCAGACUCCUACGGGAGGCAGCAGUGAGGAAUAUUGGUCAAUGGUCGGAAGACUGAACCAGCCAUGCCGCGUGCAGGAAGAAUGCCUUAUGGGUUGUAAACUGCUUUUAUAUGGGAAGAAUAAGGCGUACGUGUACGUUGAUGACGGUACCAUAUGAAUAAGCAUCGGCUAACUCCGUG
rnacentral:rRNA from 1 species